rnacentral:rRNA from 1 species
UACGAAGGGUUCUAGCGUUGUUCGGAUUUACUGGGCGUAAAGCGCACGUAGGCGGAUCUUUAAGUCAGGGGUGAAAUCCCGAGGCUCAACCUCGGAACUGCCUUUGAUACUGGAGAUCUUGAGUUCGGGAGAGGUGAGUGGAACUGCGAGUGUAGAGGUGAAAUUCGUAGAUAUUCGCAAGAACACCAGUGGCGAAGGCGGCUCACUGGCCCGAUACUGACGCUGAGGUGCGAAAGCGUGGGGAGCAAACAGG